rnacentral:rRNA from 1 species
AGUUUGAUUAUGGCUCAGGAUAAACGCUGGCGGCAUGCCUAAUACAUGCAAGUCGAACGGAGUUACCUUCGGGUAACUUAGUGGCGAACGGGUGAGUAACACGUAGGUAAUCCAUCCCAAGGACGAGGAUAGCUCUGGAAACGGAAGGUAAACUGGAUAGUUAAUUAAAGGGCAUCCUUUAGUUAUUAAAAGAGCAAUCUACCCUGGGAAGAGCCUGCGGCGCAUUAGCUAGUUGGUGAGGUAAUGGCCCACCAAGGCGAUGAUGCGUAGCCGGACUGAGAGGUCGACCGGCCACAUUGGGACUGAGACACGGCCCAGACUCCUACGGGAGGCAGCAGUAGGGAAUUUUCGGCAAUGGGCGGAAGCCUGAACCCGAGCAAUGCCGCGUGAAUGAUGAAGUAUUUCGGUAUGUAAAGUUCUUUUAACAGGGACGAAAAAACAAAUUGACGGUACCUGUUGAAUAAGCUCCGGCUAACUACGUGCCAGCCGCCGC